rnacentral:rRNA from 1 species
AGUGAACGCUGGCGGUAGGCCUAACACAUGCAAGUCGAACGGCAGCACAGUAAGAGCUUGCUCUUACGGGUGGCGAGUGGCGGACGGGUGAGGAAUACAUCGGAAUCUACUUUUUCGUAGGGGCUAACGUAGGGAAACUUACGCUAAUACCGCAUACGACCUACGGGUGAAAGCAGGGGAUCUUCGGACCUUGCGCGAUUGAAUGAGCCGAUGUCGGAUUAGCUAGUUGGUGGGGUAAAGGCCCACCAAGGCGACGAUCCGUAGCUGGUCUGAGAGGAUGAUCAGCCACACUGGAACUGAGACACGGUCCAGACUCCUACGGGAGGCAGCAGUGGGGAAUAUUGGACAAUGGGCGCAAGCCUGAUCCAGCCAUACCGCGUGGGUGAAGAAGGCCUUCGGGUUGUAAAGCCCUUUUGUUGGGAAAGAAAAGCAGCAGGUUAAUACCCCGCUGUUCUGACGGUACCCAAAGAAUAAGCACCGGCUAACUUCGUG